rnacentral:ncRNA from 1 species
AUCCGACUGUCUAAUUAAAACAAAGCUUUGCGAUGGCCACUGGUCGGUGUUGACACAAUGUGAUUUCUGCCCAGUGCUUUGAAUGUCAACGUGAAGAGAUUCAUCAAUGCGCGGGUAAACAGCGGUAGUAACUAUGACUCUCUUUUCUGCUAUGGCAUGCACGCCUUGGACUUCGGGGUGAGAGCAGAUGGUUACUUGCUUGUGCAAAGCCGAACUCUCACCUGCACGUGGUGCCCGCCGCAGGACUAGUGAACCUAAAAGGGGUGCAUCCCUGGUGAUCUCGUCCUCAACGGGAGCUCUCGCACUUCCUGGCAGGGGUAUCCCUGCCCCUGCCAACUGGCUUUGCGAUCUCAUGGAACCCUUUUCCAAACCCCCGCCGACUGGCGGGUGUUCCAAGUCACCCUAGGGCCAGGGCCUUGACCGCCCUAUGACGCCCGGGUGGUUGCCUUGGCACCGGGACUGAUGGCCUCCGAGUGGCUCAGCCAGGACACCAUUCAGGGGUGGCGUCCUCCACUUGUAGCAAAUGCGACGGUUCUGGCACUAACACCCGUGUUUACACAGGGAAUUCGGGUCCCUCUGCCCAAACACGUCACAGUGAUAAUCCUUCGCAUCUCUUCUAGCUUCCGGGAGGAACGCCAGCACGGCCUGGAAUUGUCCUGCCUACCCGGAAACGGGCUUGCUUCCGCCCCUUUUUCUUAAGGCUUGGCACCCCUGGAGCUGCGCUUGCCCUGCCUUUCUUCUGGGUGGAGUUAAAAACAUGGCCCAUGUAAACAUCUCUUGGGUGGGGGUCCGCUUGGCCUCAUCGGGCCCUGUGGCUCCCGGCACUUUAGAGAAACAGGCAAUAGCCAAAUGCCUCGUCAUCUAAUUAGUGACGCGCAUGAAUGGAUUAACGAGAU